rfam:Ictidomys tridecemlineatus contig020000, whole genome shotgun sequence.
GUGGCUGUGGCUCAGUGGGUGAGCGCUCGCCUCAUGUGCGUGAGGCACUGGAUUCAAUCCUCAGCACCACA